GACGAACGCUGGCGGCGUGCUUAACACAUGCAAGUCGAACGGAAAGGCCCUGCUUGCCGGGUACUCGAGUGGCGAACGGGUGAGUAACACGUGGGUGAUCUGCCCUGCACUUCGGGAUAAGCCUGGGAAACUGGGUCUAAUACCGGAUAGGAGCCAUUUUUAGUGUGAUGGUUGGAAAGUUUUUUCGGUGUAGGAUGAGCUCGCGGCCUAUCAGCUUGUUGGUGGGGUAAUGGCCUACCAAGGCGGCGACGGGUAGCCGGCCUGAGAGGGUGGACGGCCACAUUGGGACUGAGAUACGGCCCAGACUCCUACGGGAGGCAGCAGUGGGGAAUAUUGCACAAGGGGCGCAAGCCUGAUGCAGCGACGCCGCGUGGGGGAGGACGGCCUUCGGGUUGUAAACUCCUUUCGCUAGGGACGAAGCUUUUUGUGACGGUACCUAGAUAAGAAGCACCGGCUAACUACGUG
rnacentral:rRNA from 1 species